rnacentral:rRNA from 1 species
UGGCUCAGGAUGAACGCUGGCGGCGUGCCUAACACAUGCAAGUCGAGCGAUUCUCUUCGGAGAAGAGCGGCGGACGGGUGAGUAACGCGUGGGUAACCUGCCUCAUACACAUGGAUAACAUACCGAAAGGUAUGCUAAUACAGGAUAAUAUAAGAGAUUCACAUGGAUUUCUUAUCAAAGCUCCGGCGGUAUGAGAUGGACCCGCGUCUGAUUAGCUAGUUGGUAAGGUAACGGCUUACCAAGGCGACGAUCAGUAGCCGACCUGAGAGGGUGAUCGGCCACAUUGGAACUGAGACACGGUCCAAACUCCUACGGGAGGCAGCAGUGGGGAAUAUUGCACAAUGGGCGAAAGCCUGAUGCAAGCAACGCCGCGUGAGUGAUGAAGGCCUUCGGGUCGUAAAACUCUGUCCUCAAGGAAGAUAAUGACGGUACUUGAGGAGGAAGCCCCGGCUAACUACGUGCCAGCAGCAGC